rnacentral:lncRNA from 1 species
ACUUGAACGGCGGGCUAGAAAAAACCGGAGGGGAAAGCUGCGGGAGGCGACAGCAGGGGCGAGAGAGGACGUAGCAUCCACACCCUACGCAAGCGCGUCGUAGUCACAUGACAAGGGGCGGUGCCCGUGUGGGCGGGAGCGAAGUCACGGCUAGGGUCGAGGUUGCUACGGCGGACCAGCGGUGGCAACGGUAGUAUGGCCGCGCUUUAUGGUGGCGUGGAAGGGUGAGCGCUGGAUCGGCCGAAGGCUGUCCGUCCGGGAGCGGCGGGUCAGGGGGCGGCGGCCCACACCAUGCCCGGUGCCUUUGUGCUCCACGGUGCGACCACGCCCCUCCCGGCCAUCACCUUUCUGCCACAGGGCUCUUGUGUCAACCUGGAGAGUUGUGCAGAGCUGGGGGGUCAGGUGGGAAGUUGCCGGUCGCGGGUGGACGUGGGAAAGAGGCAGAAGCUGAGACUGAGAUUCAUGCACAAGGGAACCCGGGAGUUAAGCAGCUGUCACCAGAGCACUGUCUUAUCUUGGUGCUCCGGACCCUCCACUGCUGUCGGCCCCGAACGCCCUUGGUUCCUAUAUUCUCCUGCUUAGAAGCUGGUCUGCUUGACUUUGGGAAGUAGCUCUACUAAGCAUGGCUUUGGGUGAGACGUAAGGCAAGGACAAGAGUGAGCAAGAUGGUGGUUUAUCCGGUCCCCUGCGCGUGACAAGCAUUUUGUGGAACUGGGUGUGUCAAAUCAGGACCUGAUAGGAAGAUUUGGUAUCCUAGCUGCUUGCUGCUGAUUUACCCGGAAGUCUCUUCCCGUGAAUUGCGAAAGCGGAUGACCCCUGGCUUUAUUUAUGAUACCUUACAAGGAAAAACCCUCAGCACAGCGUAGGAGUUUGCACUUAGCCUUGUUAUAUUCAUAUGGAAGGUAGAACUUAUUUUUCCCAGUUUGUCAAGAAAUUAAUUUGGAUUUUUAAUCUACUGUCUCAUGCAUUAAUAUCCCUUCGGAUGUACUCUUGAUGUACUACUCUUUGAGUUGGAUCGAGUCUUUAUUGUCUAUUACAAGAAGUAUUGGUCAGAGCCGUGCGCCACCACGCCCGGCAGGAAGCUACUUUUUAAUAACCUUAUCCAGGGUUAAGGAUAUUAACCUCAGUGGUAGGAUGCUGCUGUGUGAGGUUCUGAGUUUGAUCCUAAGAACUGCCAUUUUUUUUUCUUUAUAGAAUUAAGUAGCCUAGAAUGUUUAUUCAUUCAAAGAAAAAAAAAAGUUAAAUUUGGAGAGAAGAGCUCAGCAAAUCUUCAUUUAAAUUAUAAGUAAUAAAAUGUAGGGAGGAUUUUACAUUAAAAAAGAAAAGAUACAUCUGCCCUUGAAUUCCCUCCUGUUCCCCAAAGACAGGAAGUGUGGCUUCUAAGCUUGACACCCUGAAGAAAGCAGUGUCUAAUGUCCUAGUCCCUUGAUUCCAAGGAAAUGGAAACUUCUGGGCCCAGCAGUGGGUUAGGUGAUAGACAGAGGCCAGGUAGUAUGCAGUCAGCUUUAUUGUUUGGUUGGAUAGAUUCUGGCUCUGUUCCUAUGAUCACCCAGAGCUUCUGUGUGGGAGGAUUGUAACUGGAGGAUUCACCUUCCAGAUUAACUGUUGUCUGGUGACAUCCUUAGGUUAGCAGGACGGGCUUCAGUAGGUGCUCAACACCCACUGUUUGGCCAUCUCAGGACUGAACAUCCCGGGAGCAGCAAGUCUCAUGGCAAUGGUGGACACAAUCAGUCAGGGUCCCUACUUCACAUCAGCAUCCUUUCUUCUGUCUGCUUAGCAAACGGAUGCCCUCCAUUCCUGUUUUCCCAGAGGAGAAUGGCUGGGAUGAGCUUUUCCAUCAGGUAGGUACUUCUUGUCAAAUUUGUCAGACCCCUGAGUUCCUAUCCUUGACAUCCUGUAAACCAAGACCCUUACUGAAGACGCCUGUCCCUCUGGCAGUAGGGGACAAACUUAGAAGGUCAGGCCGUCACAUGCUCAUUGCCAUAGUCCCAAUCAAGAGGUCUACUCUGGCUUCCCCUCUUUCCUGGCUCCUUGAGGGUGCUAGUGCAAGCUCAGGGCUGUUUGCCUGCACCUUCAUCUCUCUAUAGC